GAGGGUAUCGCACAGUGGUAGAGUGCCUGCUUAGCAUGCACAAGGUCCUGGGUUCAAUCCCCGGUACCUCCC
rnacentral:tRNA from 1 species